CCUCGCCUUUAUUGCCAUCAUUUAGUUGGGUACUCUAAAGGAACCGCCGGUGAUAAGCCGGAGGAAGGUGGGGAUGACGUCAAUUCCUCAUGGCCCUUACGCGUUGGGCUACACACUUGCUACAAUGGCGACUACAGUGGGCAGCCACCUCGCGAGAGGGAGCUAAUCUCCAAAAGUCGUCUCAGUUCGGAUCGUUCUCUGCAACUCGAGAGCGUGAAGGCGGAAUCGCUAUUAAUCGCGGAUCAGCAUGCCGCGGUGAAUACGUUCCCAGGCCUUGUACACACCGCCCGUCACACCAUGGGAGUUGGAUUCACUCGAAGGCGUUGAGCUAACCGCAAGGAGGCAGGCGACCACAGUGGGUUUAGCGACUGGGGUGAAGUCGUAACAAGGUACCGUAGGGGAACCUGCGGCUGGAUCA
rnacentral:rRNA from 1 species